CGGUGAAAUCAUACUGAAAAACCGAUUCUCGUUUGAUCUCCAAAGUUAAGCAAUGUCGAGCCCGAUCAGUACUUAGAUGGAAGAUCACUUGGACACACCGAGAAUUGUA